rnacentral:rRNA from 1 species
GACGAACGCUGGCGGCGUGCUUAACACAUGCAAGUCGAACGGAAAGGCCCCUUUGGGGGUACUCGAGUGGCGGACGGGUGCGUAACACGUGAGUAACCUGCCCUUGACUUCGGGAUAACUUCAGGAAACUGGGGCUAAUACCGGAUAGGAAUCCUUGCUGCAUGGUGGGGGUUGGAAAGCUUCGGCGGUUUUGGAUGGACUCGCGGCUUAUCAGCUUGUUGGUGGGGUAGUGGCUUACCAAGGCUUCGACGGGUAGCCGGCCUGAGAGGGCGACCGGCCACAUUGGGACUGAGAGACGGCCCAGACGCCUACGGGAAGCAGCAGUGGGGAAUAUUGAACAAUGGGCGGAAGCCGGAUGCAGCAACGCCGCGUGCGGGAUGACGGCCUUCGGGUUGUAAACCGAUUUCAGCAGGGGCGAAGCUUGUGGUGACGGUACCUGCAGAAGAAGCACCGGCUAACUACGUG